CAAUAAUGGGCACCUGACCUGGGUGGGAAGGAAGGAGAAGAGAACAUGGCUCUGAUACAGAAACCUGGUGCACAAAAAGAAAGGGUUCCUGUUUGUUACCUGUUCUGAUGGCCUCACCAUCAGUGGGGAGCACCAUCUUCUAGAAGGGGAACAUUGGAAAUAACCAUACAUCACACACCUGAAGCCAUCAGGCCUCAGAAUGUAACAGUAUUAAACCAUCUCAAGGUGGGUUAGUACUCA